UCCUUAGAGUGUAUGUCUCACCAGACGAGGAAGAUACAAGCUCACAACUAGCAGUGGGUGCUGCAGGCCCAUCUCCGCAGGCAAUAAGAUGGGUUAAACUUGUUUCGGAUAAAUUCAUUAACUUAGAUUACAUCGAUUUACACAGAUAUCUUAGACUUCAUCCACAUGCCCAGUGGGUACUAAGCGGUAUUGGAGGAAGCUGAAAGCAUUGGUUUGGAAAUAUGAUAGUCAAAGGGCUGAGAUCUGUUUAUGGACCUUACAACCCACAUCUGUACAAUAGAAUUACGGAUACAGAAGUUUAGUUGAACUCUCACAAAGAGAUGAAAUUG
rnacentral:sRNA from 1 species